GCAUUUCAGCUGGAGCAUCAACUGCAGAUGUUUUCGAACCACUUCUAAGUGCUUUGGGUCUAAAAACACCGGAACGAGCAACACCUCGACCUACAACUGAAGAAAAUUGGGCAUUACUUCUAAAAGGUUAUGGAAAGGUGCUAUGUUCGAAAGCUAUUCGGGGUAUUCGUUUCACGUGCUCCGUUCCGCCUCUUCGGGAAAUAUACUUCAAUCACGGAUGUGAUUACUGGAUGGAAAUGAAAAAAGAGAGGUGCGGCACUAGUUAGAGGCAUAUCAAGAAUUGGUUCUGAUGCAGCUUCAUAAUGCAUGUAUUCCCUCUCCCCUUUCACCGUUUCAGAACAUCGCCUUUAUUCUGCUCACGCUGAGUUGCAAAACUUUCAUUGCAGAAUAAUCUGAUUUCUUUUUCGGUUUUCCUUGUUUGCAUCUUAUUCAGUAGAUUCCUUCACUAUGCAAUUACUUCGAAGCCAAGUAGUUGCAAAGGAAGUCCUAGAAGAUGGCUCCACCCUUCCAUCCAUUCACGAUGUAUUUCCUUGCACCGUUCCAGAAGCUUCUAUUCGCUCUGCAUUUGUCUAGUUCAACACCCUUCUUUUGCAGAAAAUAUCUGAUUUCUAUUAAAGGUUA